AAAUCUCUUGAUCUAAAUAGUCUAUUGUAGCUUAGCUGGUCUUUGGACUUAACUUCCAGUAACCUGAAUCGGAGCAGAAGGUAGAGAAGCUGAAGAUUUGAGAACACUAAGUACAUAUACCUUAGAAAGAAAAAGCGUAAACUGGUCAGGAUUCGUGGUGUCCGUAUAAUGAGGUCCUUAAAAUAGAAAGUUCUGGCAAUGGGGAUAUCCAUAAACUACAUCUAAACUAUACAAUUAGUUUCAUAAGUGGUCAAAAAAGGAGUUCUUGGAAACAACUACAAAUACCCAACAUCUGCAACCGUAGAAGAACGAACAGAACUAUUUACAGAUAUUAAACAGACAAUAUCUAAAGUUCAAAUGCAUCGAAAGCUACAGCGAGAGGCUUACAACC